CUAUAGCUUGACACUGAACAUUGAGCCUUGAUGUGUAGGAUAGGUGGGAGGCUUUGAAGCGUGGACGCCAGUCUGCGUGGAGCCAACCUUGAAAUACCACCCUUUAAUGUUUGAUGUUCUAACGUUGGCCCCUUACCGGGGUUGCGGACAGUGUCUGGUGGGUAGUUUGACUGGGGCGGUCUCCUCCCAAAGCGUAACGGAGGAGCACGAAGGUUAGCUAAUCCUGGUCGGACAUCAGGAGGUU
rnacentral:rRNA from 1 species